ACUUAAUUAGCAAGCUCAACGCAUUUGCACAUAGGAGGACUCUCGAGUUGUGAGGGGGAAGAUUGAAAAGAUUCAUAUACAUUUGAAGUAAUUACAUCAAGUCAACGUAGGCAUUAUACACGAUGAGCGAACCAAAUAACUAUUAAUCAUCGUUCUUACCUCAUGAUAAAUCAAAUUGUGGUACUACGUGUGAGUCUGCGUGAUAAAAAAAAAAAUUUCAAGGUGCUUGCUAAAAGUGACCAUGUGCAUGCGCGCGUGCUAAGACUACUCAAUUUUCCCAAUCAAAAAUUUCAACCAUACACAAAGGUGAAAUUAAGAACCACUUGGCAAGUUCAAUUCUCAUAGGAGGGAUAUCAAGUUGUGAGAGAGAUGGAGAAGAAUCAAAUACAUUAAAAGCUAUUUUGUCAAGGCAACUUAGCUGUUCAGCACGACGGGCAAACUGAAUAACUAUCAUCAUCGUCUUCAACUUGUGAUCAAUGACGUAGUCAUAUUGCUUUCAAAAAAAAAUAUUUUCAAGAGGUGUGCUAAAAGUAAGCACGUAUUUUCCAUAAAAAAUUUCAAGCAUACACAAGUGAAAAGAAAAUAAAUAAAAUAAAAUAAAAAGUCACCCAGCAAGUUCAACUCACAAGCAUAUAUGAGGGCUAUCGAGCAGUGAAUUAGAAGAUGGAGAAGACUCAGAUACAUUUGAAGCAAUUUCGUCAGGAUAAUUUAGUCAUUAAGCACGACGAG
rnacentral:lncRNA from 1 species